UGGCAUGGUGGCACAGCCUGUAGUCCCAGCUACUCGGGAAGAUAAGGCAGGAGGAUUGCUUGAGUACAGGAGUUCUGAGCUGUAGUGCUACUAUGCCAAUUGGGUGUCUGUACUAAAUCUGGCAUUAAUAUGGUGACCUCCUGGGAGAAGGGGACUACCACGUUGCCUAAGGAGGGUGAACCAGCCCAGAUCAGAAACCGAGCAAGUCAAAACUCCUGUGUUGAUCAGAAAAAGGUAUGUGGGAUUCAAUUAAGUAUUUACUAAAUAGGAAUUUUAUUUAUUU
rnacentral:SRP_RNA from 1 species